rnacentral:rRNA from 1 species
GACAGAGGUGCCAAGCGUUAGGCGGAAUCACUGGGCUUAAAGCGUGUGUAGGCGGAUGUCUAAGUACCUUGUGAAAUCCCACGGCUCAACCGUAGAACUGCUUGGUAUACUGGAUGUCUUAAGCCAUCUAGGGGCUACCGGAACAAAUGGUGGAGCGGUGAAAUGCGUAGAUAUCAUUUGGAACGCCAAUGGUGAAAACAGGUAGCUGGGGAUGUGCUGACGCUGAGACACGAAAGCCAGGGGGGCGAACGGG